AGUGCCUUUGGAGUACUGAGGCGCACAGAGUCUCUUAGCCCGGCGCAGGGCGCGCAGCCUAGGCUGAGAUCCGCCGCUUCUGUGGAAGUGAGCAUGGCUGGGCAGCGGGUGCUGCUUCUAGUGGCCUUCCUUCUUUCUGGGGUCCUGCUCUCAGAGGCUGCCAAAAUCCUGACAAUAUCUACACUGGGACUUGGAGAACUUCAUUGCCAACUUCGGGGAUGCUGGGUUUGUCCUUGUGGCCUUUGGCUCCACAUUGAACACCCAUCAGUCCCAGGAAGACCUCAAGAAGAUGCACAGUGCCUUUGCCCACCUCCCUCAAGGGGUGAUAUGGAAAUGUCAGAGUUCUCAUUGGCCCAAAGAUGUUCAUUUGGCCACAAAUGUGAAAAUCGUGGACUGGCUUCCUCAGAGUGACCUCCUGGCUCACCCCAGCAUCCGUCUUUUUGUCACUCAUGGUGGGCAGAACAGUGUAAUGGAGGCCAUCCGGCAUGGUGUGCCCAUGGUGGGAUUACCAGUCAAUGGAGACCAGCAUGGAAACAUGGUCCGAGUAGUAGCCAA
rnacentral:sRNA from 1 species